rnacentral:rRNA from 1 species
AUUGAACGCUAGCGGGAUGCCUUACACAUGCAAGUCGAACGGAGUGGCGAACGGGUGAGUAAUGUAUCGACACGUGCCCAGUAGCGGGGGAUAACUACGCGCAAGCGAAGCUAAUACCGCAUACUCUUGACGCGGCCGUUAUCGGAUUAGCUAGUUGGUGGGGUAACGGCUCACCCAGGCGACGAUCCGUAGCUGGUUUGAGAGGACGACCAGCCACACUGGGACUGAGACACGGCCCAGACUCCUACGGGAGGCAGCAGUGGGGAAUGUUGGACAAUGGGGGAAACCCUGAUGCAGCCAUCCCGCGUGUGCGAUGAAGGCCUUCGGGUUGUAAAGCACUUUUGGCAGGAAAGCGGUACCUGCAGAAUAAGCACCGGCUAACUACGUGCCAGCAGCCGCGGUAAUUC